AAAAAUGAUGCAGAGAAGAAAUAAAGAAAGAAAAAAAAAUGAUGCAGAGAGUAGGAGAAUAAGACCCAAGUGCCAAAUAUAUAUAUACAUAAUUAAAUAAUAGAAAAAAAAAGAAAGAAAGAGAGAAGAGAACGAGGAGAGAGAGACACAACUGUGAGAGGAGAAAGAGGGCCGAGCGGCUAGAAGAAAGAGGGAGAAGUAAGAGAGGAAGGUUGCAGCCGAGAGAGGGAACGAUAGGGGAGACAUAAAGAGGAGGUGGGUCACAUGGUGUUGAGCGACACUGCAGCUAAAAGAGAAAGAAAGAGGAGGAGGGUCACACGGGUUGUACGAUGUAGUGACAAGAAACUAGAAAAAGAAGAAGAAGAAGAGAGAAAAUAGUCAUGCUUAGGUGUAGAGAGAGAGAGAGAAGAAGAAGAAAGGACAAACAAGAAGAAAAAGAAAGGAAAAAGGAAGAAGAAAAAGAAAAUAGGAAAGAAAAAGAAGAAAAAAGGGGAAGAAGAAAGAGAUGAGAGUGCGACAGANNN
rnacentral:lncRNA from 1 species